UCGGGAAUUUUGGGCAAUGGGCGAAAGCCUGACCCAGCAACGCCGCGUGAGGGUUGAAGUAUUUCGGUAUGUAAACCUCGAAAGAAUGGGAAGAAUAAAUGACGGUACCAUUUAUAAGCUCCGGCUAACUACGUGCCAGCAGCCGCGGUAAUACGUAGGGAGCAAGCGUUGUUCGGAUUUACUGGGCGUAAAGGGCGCGUAGGCGGCGCGGUAAGUCACUUGUGAAAUCUCUGAGCUUAACUCAGAACGGCCAAGUGAUACUGCUGUGCUAGAGUGCGGAAGAGGCCACCGGAAUUCUGGGUGUAGCGGUGAAAUGCGUAGAUAUCAAGAGGAACACCUGAGGCGAAGGCGGGUUGCUGGGCCGACACUGACGCUGAUGCGCGAAAGCCAGGGGAGCAAACG
rnacentral:rRNA from 1 species